GUGCAGAUGGACGACGGUUGUCCGUUUGUCGGCUUGGUUGAGUGCGCAAGUCUCCCCUCUUUCUUUAGGAACGGCAACUGAGUGUGAUCCCAUCACACCGCACCUCUCUCUCUCCUAGAAAAUCCAUUCACACCGUUUUGGUAUUCGGUACCAGUGCUAUUCGUAUAUAUCUUUUGUAUAUCUCAAGGCAUGAAAAUCUCAAUGAGGAAGAUCUCCUCUUCCUCCUUUCCUCGCUGUUUCUUCAUCUCUUCUCCUCAUUCCAUCAGUAGAGUUCAGAAGGGAAGAUGGCUCUUUCAUCCUGUUAUUGCCAUUCACACAUCUCUUCUCUCAAGGUCGGUCGAUCUAUGCAAGCUAGCCACCUUUUUACUUUGCCUGCAACAGAGAGGAGAUCCAUCUAUGCUUUAAGAGGGGCAAAUGCCGAUGUUUUUGGCCAAAAAGUUUCUAAAAUGGGAAGAGCACUUCAAAGUGAGUGGAGUUUUGUUGGAGGAUCAAAAGUCUUCCUCCAGCCAAAAGUGGCAAGAAUCGGCUCUUAUGGAAAAGGCUUCAGUCUCUCUGCCUCAUGGCUCACGAGUACUCAAAUUGCAAGCCAUGCUUUCACCAUCGGAACAGCCGCUGUUCUUCCAUUUUAUACUCUCAUGGUUGUUGCUCCUAAAGCUGAACUGACCAAGAAAACCAUGGAGAGUAAUAUACCUUAUGUUGCACUCGGGAUUCUGUAUGCAUAUCUUCUAUAUCUGGCAUGGACACCUGACACCUUGCGGAUGAUGUUUGCAAGUAAAUACUGGUUGCCAGAGUCCAACCAGAAAUUAUCUGGAUGGAGAUUCAGGCAAAUGCGCAUCCAACCCACCCCGAAAGGCAAAAACAUUGAAGCAUAUUUGUUCAAGGUUGCUGAGGCUGACAGGAUGCACUGGAUCUGAAAGCUGGGAUAAGCCGGAAAUGCUACCCAGGAUAAUGCGGGUUCUGUUUUCCACCAGACGGCCCCAAACACCAACACAUUUACUAUGAUUUGCUACCUGGUAUUGCAAAAAUGUUCUCAAGCGAGAUGACUCUAGCUUCUGCAUGGGUUCACUUGUUGGCUGUUGAUCUUUUUGCAGCAAGGCAAGUAUUUCAUGACGGUCUAAAGAACGAGAUCGAGACCCGCCAUUCGGUUUCUUUGUGCCUGCUUUUCUGCCCAAUCGGAAUCCUCACUCAUGUGAUCACCAAGGUACUGACUAAAA